AGCGCAGGCGGGAAGACAAGUUGGAAGUGAAAACCAUGGGCUCAACCCAUGAAUUGCUUUCAAAACUGUUUUUCUUUGAGUAGUGCAGAGGUAGAUGGAAUUCCCGGUGUAGCGGUGGAAUGCGUAGAUAUCGGGAGGAACACCAGUGGCGAAGGCGGUCUACUGGGCACCAACUGACGCUGAGGCUCGAAAGCAUGGGGUAGCAAACA
rnacentral:rRNA from 1 species